AUUCUCAUGGCGCAAAUGGCUAGCGCACUCGUUUAACACGCGAGAGGUUUUCGGUUCGAGUCCGGAUGAGGAUA
rnacentral:tRNA from 1 species